CAAUUCUCAAAAUACAUCCUUUCACACCGAAUCAGACAUGUUUUUUCUCCAACUGUGCGCAGCACCAAUUCCUUUACUCUGAACUCAAAGAAGCAUAUCACCAAAGAUCUAGGCAGUGUGCUUUUGGUAAGCUUUGGGAUAGCCUCAGAAAAAGAAAGAAGGGGGCGAGGAGGUGUCUGUCUUCAGUCUGGAAACUUCAGCGAGGUAUCCAUUUACAAAGAGACACCUGAGAGGAUCAGUUCUCAGUUUGCAGAUCAAGUUGCACCACCCCUCCCACUUUUUGGAUGAGAAGUCAUGUGCCAGGAAUAUGGACGAGGAUCGUUUUGGGAAUUUGAAAUUACUUUACUGUCCGGCUGCAUUUUGGAAAUACAUCCAGUUCUAUCUGUAACACAACAGGUCAAAUAUUUUCUCAUACAGAAUUAACUUAUCCAGAACCACACAGUAUAUAUAUACAAGGUAAAAGCUAAAUGUAAUAUUUAUUUUAAACUUCUAUUUCCACCACAGUCCACGCUUUAGCUGAAUUUAAAGUCACUGAUGUCAAGCAACUUCCUGCAUUCCACAAUCAGUUACAACCAUCUCCAGUUCAGAGACCAAAGCUCAGACCAAACCUUUCUAUGAGUUUGUUAAAAUAUGCGACUCAGUUAAUGCUACGUCAGCAGUUGGUUGCAAAGAAAACUGGACCCUUCACAGACCCGGCUCCAAAGGAAUAUAGCUGGGGGGGCUGUGGCUAACUUUGGUGAAGCCCAGUAAACAGUAUUUUUUUUAGAAUUUAUACACCUGUGGCUUUUUGUUGUGGUUAGACUUUAUUGCAGUGCCACCUUUUGUACUGUCUGAUUUUGUUUUAAGUUUUACUUUUGAAGUUACAGUGCCAAAUAUUUACUUGUGCACUUUAUGCCUCUGAGUAUUUCUUACUUACUUGAAGUGCUGAUCUUUAAGUGUUCUGUGUCAUUGGACUUGCUAUGAUUCCACUACAUUGGAACUGUCAAGGUUUUCUAUAUUUAUUAAUACUUUUUUUGU